rnacentral:rRNA from 1 species
AUACGUAGGUGACAAGCGUUAUCCGGAUUUACUGGGUGUAAAGGGCGUGUAGGCGGAGAUGCAAGUCAGGAGUGAAAUCUAGGGGCUCAACCCCUAAACUGCUUUUGAAACUGUAUCCCUUGAGUAUCGGAGAGGCAGGCGGGAUUUCUAGUGUCGCGGGGAAAUGCGUAGAUAUUAGGAGGAACACCAGUGGCGAAGGCGGCCUGCUGGACGACAACUGACGCUGAGGCGCGAAAGCGUGGGGAGCAAACAGGAUUAGAUACCCUGGUAGUCCACGCUGUAAACGAUGAAUACUAGGUGUGGGGGGACUGACCCCCUCCGUGCCGCAGUUAACACAAUAAGUAUUCCACCUGGGGAGUACGAUCGCAAGAUUGAAACUCAAAGGAAUUGACGGGG